rnacentral:rRNA from 1 species
CCCGCUGAACUUAAGCAUAUCAAUAAGCGGAGGAAAAGAAACUAACAAGGAUUCCCCUAGUAACUGCGAGUGAAGCGGGAAAAGCUCAAAUUUAAAAUCUGGCAGUCUUUUGAUUGUCCGAGUUGUAAUCUAGAGAAGUGCUAUCCGUGCUGGACCAUGUACAAGUCUCCUGGAAUGGAGCGUCACAGAGGGUGAGAAUCCCGUCUCUGACAUGGACUACCAGUGCAUUGUGAUGUGCUCUCAAAGAGUCGAGUUGUUUGGGAAUGCAGCUCUAAAUGGGUGGUAAAUUCCAUCUAAAGCUAAAUAUUGGCGAGAGACCGAUAGCGAACAAGUACCGUGAGGGAAAGAUGAAAAGAACUUUGGAAAGAGAGUUAAACAGUACGUGAAAUUGUUGAAAGGGAAACGCUUGAAGUCAGUCACGUUGGCUGGAGAUCAACCUUGCUUCUGCUUGGUGCAUUUUCCAGUUGAUGGGCCAGCAUCAAUUUUGAUCAGUGGAUAAAGGUCAGGGGAAUGUGGCAUCUCUGGAUGUGUUAUAGCCCUUGGUUGUAUACAUUGGUUGGGAUUGAGGAACUCAGCACGCCGCAAGGCCAGGUUUUUUUUAAACCAUGUUCAUGCUUAGGAUGCUGGCAUAAUGGCUUUAAUCGACCCGUCUUGAAACACGG